UUGUCCGGAAUCACUGGGCGUAAAGGGCGCGUAGGCGGCUCAUGAAGGCUGUGGUGAAAGUCCGGGGCUCAACCUCGGAUCGGCCGUGGCGACUCGUGGGCUGGAGCACUGUAGAGGCGGGUGGAAUUCCGGGUGUAGCGGUGGAAUGCGUAGAGAUCCGGAAGAACACCAGUGGCGAAGGCGUCCCGCUGGGCAGUGGCUGACGCUGAGGCGCGACAGCGUGGGGAGCAAACAGG
rnacentral:rRNA from 1 species